rnacentral:ncRNA from 1 species
UCUCUUCAGGGCAGGGUGAAAGUCCCUACCGGCGGUAUAGUCCGCGACUCCUCCUUGCGGGGGACUGAACCGGUGUGAUUCCGGUACCGACGGUAUAGUCCGGAUGGAAGACGGG